GGGGUGAUGAUGAUGAUCAGCAAGCAGUAGUAUGGCUUCAUGCUGAGCGAGCACACUAUAGAUGUGGUGCUUGCUUUGAGAGUUUUAAUAGAGAAGGUCAGAAGGAGGAACUGUGAGGAAGUCGGCUGGAAUCCAAUUUCUACUUUUAUUCAGGUGAGGCUGGAAAAAUCCAGCAAGAAGCCAAAGUCCAUUGAUCCAAACAAGGGAAGCAACACAGCAGGAGAAUAAUACAAACACUGCAGCCCAACAAAGAGCUGAGGAAAACUAAGCGCUUCACAGUUGACUCAGUGACUGCAAGGUGCCCAGGUCCUGUGGCUGCAAAGCAAGCCCAAAUCAUCAUCCCUCCACCACCGUGCUUGACAGUUGGUAUGCGAUGUUUGUGCUGACACGUUGUGUUUGGCUUCCACCACAUGAAGUCCGGCUCACUCAGUCAGUAGAGUAUGGGACUCCUAAGGGUCUCAGGGUCGUGCUUUCGAGCCCCACGUUGUGGCUGAAAAAGAAGCCCAAAUUAUCACCUCUUCACCACCGUGCUUGGCAGUUGGGCUUCUGCGGUCGAAUCUGUGAGGCAGCAGUUCCAACCACGAACUGCGCUGUGUGUAAACAAGGAUUAAAGGAUGAAAACUAUGAAUGAAUCCAAGCCGGGAAACAAAGAUGUGUGUGAACAAGGUUUUCUAACUUUGGAAAAGACGUCUCUACUCUCCUGCCCGUUCCCCUCCUCUCUCCUCCUCUUGUCCCUCUGCACUUUUUUGCCUCCUCUCCAGCUAUUUCCCAGCCCACACAC
ensembl:lncRNA